CUACGGGACGCUGCAGUGAGGAAUAUUGGUCAAUGGGCGAAAGCCUGAACCAGCCAUCCCGCGUGUAGGAUGACAGCCCUAUGGGUUGUAAACUACUUUUAUACUCCACGAAACCUACGCUCGUGAGCGUAGCUGACGGUAGAGUAAGAAUAAGCAUCGGCUAACUCCGUGCCAGCAGCCGCGGUAAUACGGAGGAUGCAGGCGUUAUCCGGAUUUAUUGGGUUUAAAGGGUGCGUAGGCGGAAUUAUAAGUCAGUGGUGAAAUCCUACAGCUUAACUGUAGAACUGCCAUUGAUACUGUAAUUCUUGAGUAUAUUUGAGGUAGGCGGAACGUGUCAUGUAGCGGUGAAAUGCUUAGAUAUGACACAGAACACCAAUUGCGUAGGCAGCUUACUAAAUUAUUACUGACGCUGAGGCACGAAAGCGUGGGGAGCGAACAGGAUUAGAUACCCUAGUAGUC
rnacentral:rRNA from 1 species